GAUGAAGAACGUAGCGAAAUGCGAUAAGUAAUGUGAAUUGCAGAAUUCAGUGAAUCAUCGAAUCUUUGAACGCCCAUUGCGGCCGCCAGUAUUCUGGCGGGCAUGCCUGUCCGAGCGUCAUUUCAACCAUCAAGCCCCGGGCUUGUGUUGGGGACCUGCGUCCGACGCAGGCCCUGAAAACCAGUGGCGGGCUCGCUGUCCACACCGAGCGUAGUAACUAACCUCGCUAUGGAGUGGCGCGGGCGCCUGCCGUAAAACCCCCAAUUUCACAAGGUUGACCUCGGAUCAGGUAGGAAUACCCGCUGAACUUAAGCAUAUCAAUAAGCGGAGGA
rnacentral:misc_RNA from 1 species